AAUUCCACCUACGCCUCUUUCUAUCUAUCUCCACAUGUGGUUCUCUCCUCUUGCGCUGCUCUAUAUCUCCCCUCCGAAAAUCUAAUCGGUGAUCUUCCACCGUGCGUCGCCUUGUGUCUCUCGUCUUGCACCGCUCUAUCUCUCUUGCUAUCGCGGCCCUAAUCCUUUGCUCCAAUUUGUUCUAUCGCGGCCAAAAUACUAUGUCGUCGUUUCUUCUUCGUUCAAUCUUGCGCUGCAGUGAUGGCUCGGUGCCGGAGCUUGAUUUCCCAUGGUCACUGCCUUUAUCAGACUCUGGAGAGGCCUUCCUCGGCUUGGACAAGAUUGAAGCUACGCUUGAAUAUGGUAGAACUCUGGAUUCACCCUUCGCUCGGGCUUCACUCGUGGCUAGGGCUUCGAUCUAUCGUCGCCCCUCCCAAAUCCAUGAAUCUUGGGACGAAGUUGUGUUCGAAGAUUGGUUGGUGGCUUAUACACCUACUCAUUUCUAUGUUGAAGAUCUUGCUACCGACUUUUUUGGGUAAGAUCCUACCAUUUUACUGUGUUCUUGUACUAUGGGUGAUGGAUUUUCAUAUUAUUGCAUGUUGUUGGGUCCCUGCCUUUCUGAUUAUUGCAUGUUCUUGUGCUGUGGCUGAUGGAUUUAUUGGAGUAUUGAGAUGAUAGAAAUUUUUGCUCACUUUUUGAAAUGAAAAAACAUCAAUGAUUCAAGUGAUUC